rnacentral:rRNA from 1 species
GUGGGGAAUAUUGGACAAUGGGCGAAAGCCUGAUCCAGCAAUGCCGCGUGAGUGAUGAAGGCCUUAGGGUUGUAAAGCUCUUUUACCCGGGAUGAUAAUGACAGUACCGGGAGAAUAAGCUCCGGCUAACUCCGUGCCAGCAGCCGCGGUAAUACGGAGGGAGCUAGCGUUGUUCGGAAUUACUGGGCGUAAAGCGCACGUAGGCGGCUUUGUAAGUUAGAGGUGAAAGCCUGGAGCUUAACUCCAGAACUGCCUUUAAGACUGCAUCGCUUGAAUCCAGGAGAGGUGAGUGGAAUUCCGAGUGUAGAGGUGAAAUUCGUAGAUAUUCGGAAGAACACCAGUGGCGAAGGCGGCUCACUGGACUGGUAUUGACGCUGAGGUGCGAAAGCGUGGGGAGCAAACAGGAUUAGAAACCCUGGUAGUCC